rnacentral:rRNA from 1 species
AGCAGCCGCCGCGGUAACACGGAGGGGGCUAGCGUUGUUCGGAAUUACUGGGCGUAAAGCGCACGUAGGCGGCUUUGUAAGUUAGAGGUGAAAGCCUGGGGCUCAACUCCAGAAUUGCCUUUAAGACUGCAUCGCUUGAACGUCGGAGAGGUGAGUGGAAUUCCGAGUGUAGAGGUGAAAUUCGUAGAUAUUCGGAAGAACACCAGUGGCGAAGGCGGCUCACUGGACGACUGUUGACGCUGAGGUGCGAAAGCGUGGGGAGCAAACAGGAUUAGAGACCCCUGUAGUCCCUGUCUCUUAUAC